rnacentral:rRNA from 1 species
UACGUAGGGUGCGAGCGUUGUCCGGAAUCAUUGGGCGUAAAGGGCGCGUAGGUGGCCCCUCAAGCGUGCGGUGAAAGUCAGGGGCUCAACCCCUGAUCGGCCGUGCGAACUGGGGAGCUUGAGCACUGUAGAGGCAGAUGGAAUUCCGGGUGUAGCGGUGGAAUGCGUAGAGAUCCGGAAGAACACCGGUGGCGAAGGCGGUCUGCUGGGCAGAGACUGACGCUGAGGCGCGACAGCGUGGGGAGCAAACAGG